rnacentral:rRNA from 1 species
CAUCAACCCUGUGAACUUACCUAAACGUUGCUUCGGCGGGAAUAGACGGCCCUGUAAAACGGGCCGCCCCCGCCAGAGGACCCUUAACUCUGUUUCUUAUAAUGUUUCUUCUGAGUAAAACAAGCAAAUAAAUUAAAACUUUCAACAACGGAUCUCUUGGCUCUGGCAUCGAUGAAGAACGCAGCGAAAUGCGAUAAGUAAUGUGAAUUGCAGAAUUCAGUGAAUCAUCGAAUCUUUGAACGCACAUUGCGCCCGCCAGUAUUCUGGCGGGCAUGCCUGUUCGAGCGUCAUUACAACCCUCAGGCCCCCGGGCCUGGCGUUGGGGAUCGGCGGAGCGCCCCUCGUGGGCGCACGCCGUCCCCCAAAUACAGUGGCGGUCCCGCCGCAGCUUCCAUCGCGUAGUAGCUAACACCUCGCGACUGGAGAGCGGCGCGGCCACGCCGUAAAACACCCCAACUCUUCUGAAGUUGACCUCGAAUCAGGUAGGAAUACCCGCUGAACUUAAGCAUAUCAAUAAGCGGAGGAAAAGAAACCAACAGGGAUUGCCCCAGUAACGGCGAGUGAAGCGGCAACAGCUCAAAUUUGAAAUCUGGCUCUCGGGCCCGAGUUGUAAUUUGUAGAGGAUGCUUUUGGUGAGGUGCCUUCCGAGUUCCCUGGAACGGGACGCCAUAGAGGGUGAGAGCCCCGUCUGGUUGGACGCCGAACCUCUGUAAAGCUCCUUCGACGAGUCGAGUAGUUUGGGAAUGCUGCUCUAAAUGGGAGGUAUAUGUCUUCUAAAGCUAAAUACCGGCCAGAGACCGAUAGCGCACAAGUAGAGUGAUCGAAAGAUGAAAAGAACUUUGAAAAGAGAGUUAAACAGUACGUGAAAUUGUUGAAAGGGAAGCGCUUGUGACCAGACUUGGGCUUGGUUGAUCAUCCGGGGUUCUCCCCGGUGCACUCUUCCGGCCCAGGCCAGCAUCAGUUCGCCCUGGGGGACAAAGGCUUCGGGAACGUGGCUCUCUCCGGGGAGUGUUAUAGCCCG